GGUCAAGCAAGUAAGAGCGCAAGGGGAAUGCCUUGGCAUCAGGAGCCGACGAAGGACGUGACAAGCUGCGAUAAGCUGCGGGGAGCUGCACAUAAGCCUCGAUCCGCAGAUUUCCGAAUGGGGAAACCCGCCGUGGUUAAUACUGCGGCAGCGUACGGUGAAUUCAUAGCCGUACGCAGGGAACCGCCUGAACUGAAACAUCUAAGUAGGGCGAGGAAGAGAAAUCAACAGAGAUUCCGCUAGUAGUGGCGAGCGAACGCGGAAUAGGCCAAACCGGAGGUAGCAAUAUCUCCGGGGUUGUGGACGCGCAUAAGGUACAAUAGGUUAGCCGAACGGCAUGGGAAGGCCGGCCAUAGCGGGUGAGAGCCCCGUAGGCGAAAACCGAUUUGUACUGGCGCGGAUCCAGAGUACCGCGGGACACGAGGAAUCCCGUGGGAAGCCGGGGGGACCACCCUCCAAGCCUAAAUACUACCUGAUGACCGAUAGAGGAGCAGUACCGUGAGGGAAAGGUGAAAAGGACCCCGGGAGGGGAGUGAAAUAGAACCUGAAACCUUGUGCUUACAAGCACUCAAAGCACGUUAAUGUGUGAUGAGGUACUUUUUGUAGAACGGUCCGGCGAGUUAUUGUCACCAGCAAGCUUAAGGUACUUGAGUACCGGAGGCGCAGGGAAACCGAGUGUGAAUAGCGCGUAUGAAGUUGGUGGCAAUAGACCCGAAACCGGGUGACCUAUCCAUGAGCAGGUUGAAGUUGAGGUAAAACUCAAUGGAGGACCGAACGCACGUUCGUUGCAAUGACCGGCGAUGACUUGUGGAUAGCGGAGAAAUUCCAAUCGAACCCGGAGAUAGCUGGUUCUCCCCGAAAUAGCUUUAGGGCUAGCGUUGUGACAGAUUAACGGAGGUAAAGCACUGAAUGGGCUAGGGGCCGAUAAGGUUACUGAACCCUAUCAAACUCUGAAUGCCGUAUAAUUGAUUCACAGCAGUCAGACAGCGUGAGAUAAGUUUCGUUGUCAAAAGGGAAACAGCCCAGAUCUACGUCUAAGGUCCCUAAUAUACGCUGAGUGGGAAACGAUGUGGAGUUGCAAAAACAACCAGGAUGUUGGCUUAGAAGCAGCCACUCAUUAAAAGAGUGCGUAAUAGCUCACUGGUCGAGUGACUCUGCGCGGAAAAUACAACGGGGCUAAGCGUAUAACCGAAGACUAGGCUGUGGGUACAGAUUUGAAACCAUAAAGAGCGCGGGGUUGUUUCGCGGCGGCGCCAAACAACCUUCCGAUCCGCCUGGCAGAAGCAGGGCGUGAAACGCCUGGCUGGAAGCUGGGGCGUAAGAAAGCUUUUAUGGAUUGAAAUCUGUACCCACGGGGUAGGGGAGCGUCGUGCACGGGGCGAAGCAUGAGCGUAAGCACGUGUGGACUUUGCACGAGUGAGAAUGCCGGAAUAAGUAGCGAGAAUUAUGUGGGAAUCAUAAUGGCCGAAAAUCUAAGGUUUCUUGGGGAAGGUUCGUCCGCCCAAGGUAAGCCGGGAGCUAAGGCGAGGCCGAAAGGCGUAGUCGAUGCACAUACGGUUGAAAUUCCGUAGCCGCCGACAUUUAAACCAGAGGGACACUUGAAGAUAGAAGAACCCGGGCGUUGGUUGACCCGGGCGUAAGGGACCGAAAUUUUAGUAGGGAAGUCUUCGAUGCUUUGAGGCGAGAAAAGCUCUGGUGUAUACUAAGGCGCCCGUACCGCAAACCGACACAGGUAGAUGAGGAGAGAAUCCUAAGGCCAACGGGAGAAGGGUUGUCAAGGAACUCGGCAAAAUCACCCCGUAACUUCGGGAGAAGGGGAGCCCCAGCAAUGGGGCCGCAGUGAAUAGGCCCAAGCGACUGUUUACCAAAAACACAGGUCUGUGCUAAAUCGAAAGAUGACGUAUACGGGCUGACGCCUGCCCGGUGCCGGAAGGUUAAGAGGAGAGCUUAGGAGCAAUCCGAAGGUUUGAAUUGAAGCCCCGGUAAACGGCGGCCGUAACUAUAACGGUCCUAAGGUAGCGAAAUUCCUUGUCAGGUAAGUUCUGACCCGCACGAAUGGCGUAACGACUUGGGCACUGUCUCGACAGCCCGCCCGGCGAAAUUGUAGUACUGGUGAAGAUGCCAGUUACCCGCAACUAGACGGAAAGACCCCAUGGAGCUUCACUGCAGCUUGAUACUGGAAGUCGGUAAUUCAUGUACAGGAUAGGUGGGAGACUUGGAAGCAGAGGCGUCAGCUUUUGUGGAGUCACCCUUGGGAUACCACCCUUGAAUUGCUGAUUUUCUAACCUGCGGCCAUGAAUCUGGUCGGGGGACACUGUCAGGCGGGCAGUUUGACUGGGGCGGUCGCCUCCAAAAGUGUAACGGAGGCGCUCAAAGGUUGGCUCAGCACGGACGGAAAUCGUGCGCAGAGUGUAAACGCAAAAGCCAGCCUAACUGCGAGACCGACGGGUCGAGCAGUAACGAAAGUUGGAGUUAGUGAUCCGGCGGUAUGUGCGUGGAAAUGCCGUCGCUCAACGGAUAAAAGCUACCCUGGGGAUAACAGGCUGAUCUCCCCCAAGCGUCCACAGCGACGGGGAGGUUUGGCACCUCGAUGUCGGCUCGUCGCAUCCUGGGGCUGUAUUCGGUCCCAAGGGUUUGGCUGUUCGCCAAUUAAAGCGGCACGCGAGCUGGGUUCAGAACGUCGUGAGACAGUUCGGUCCCUAUCUGUUGCGGGCGUUAGAGAUUUGAGAGGGGCUGUCCUUAGUACGAGAGGACCGGGAUGGACGUACCUCUGGUGCACCAGUUGUCCUGCCAAGGGCAUAGCUGGGUAGCUAUGUACGGACGAGAUAAACGCUGAAGGCAUCUAAGCGUGAAACUCUCCUUAAGAUGAGAUCUCUCACUCGAAAGAGGUAAGGCUCCAGGAAGACCACCUGGUUGAUAGGCCGGAAGUGUAAGCGUGGCAACACGUUCAGCUGACCGGUACUAAUAAGCCGAGGGCUUGACCUC
rfam:Papillibacter cinnamivorans DSM 12816 genome assembly, contig: EJ70DRAFT_scaffold00008.8